UAUUUUUAAAAAUUAGUUUAGCAACGCUGUGAAACAUAGGCAGCCAUUAAUGACAGGAGGGAGAAAUAGGACCCAGCUGCUGCUGCAACAUGUGGCAUAAGCCACUGGGAUUUAAUUGUAAAUUUCUUAAUAUCACAGUCUAAUCCUUGUUUCAAUAAGUGGCAUGUAAAGAGUGCUGAAACUGCUGUUGAAGUGUUGCUGAUUUUUCAUCUGGAGUAGAGUCACUCACUUUGUUCUAUGGAUUUCUGAGUAAAACCAUGGUGGAUCCAUUCGACGAGUUUCACCACCCUUGAUUGUUAUCAACGACGUGUUCUUCCCUUCUAACCGACAGCCUGGAAUAUUAUAUAAAUGGGAAUAUAUAAUAAUCACAUCUUGUUAGCAACCCAGAUACCAAAAAAGCUAGCGUCACAUGCAAGCAAAUACCAGUCAGCCCAGUGCAUUUAUACGGAUAUUGUAAAUUAUUUGAACUGCUUGACUAAUGAUUGUGGUAAGACUUUACAUAACAGUAAUUGUUGUGUUACCUACCGUCUUAUAUACGCGUAGCCACGUUCCACGUCCUACCUUUCCCGGAAAAAGGCUCGGGAGAGGGGAAGGUUAAGCUGAAAGCCGAUUGGUUUUGAUAAAUUAGUUUUAUUCCUACGUAAGCUCUGAAAAUUCCGCCUUUAUCUUUAUUGACCCAACCUUCUGCAGUGACCUCGAUUUGAAGAACAUCCUUAGGCAAUUCAGAGAAGGAAAAUAUCCACUGGCUCUUUGAGUGUAGAUCUGCCGCUUUUGGUGUUUAAUGGCGUUUCAGGGCUUCGAACGUGGAUUAAAAAUUUUUCACAUGCUGGGCACCUUUCGUAAUUUUUGGAUACACCGAUCACGCACUAUCAAAGCUGAGUAUUAGUUUACACUGGUUUAAUUUAAUCGUACAUGCUAAUUAUACGUUCUUUUUAUGACUUAAAACAGAAAAUUACUUUAUAUUCUAUUUAGAUAAUGUCGAAGGAAGACAUUUAUCUCAGAAGAGGGCUACCUUUGAAGAUGUCAUAAUUCACCCACGGCGCAGGGGCUUGUUUAUGAGCAGUAAGGCAAUCCACGAAUGGACUUUCUGUAAUUGUUCCCUAACUGUGGACGGGAUACUUUCGGACUGACUGUCGCGGUAAGGUCAUGGAUGUUUGGCUUAAGAUCGUUCUUUACCGUCAAAUUACAUUUUGUGUUUGAUGUUUCCAAUUUGAAGAGUAUCGCUUGGGCUGUUUUCAAAAGCACUGAGCAGUAUCAACGACGCUUUGUUGGUUCUAACGAUUCCUUCGUAACAUCCUUUUUGUUUUCGGUUCACUUAUACCAAAAAAACUGGUUUAAGAUAUAAAAAUGCAAGAGAAUUUUGAUUUUUGUUCCAGUCAAUUUUAUUGGAAGUCACUUAAGUUGGAAUAGUAUUGAACUAUAAAAAAGAAAAAAGUACGAUGUGAACAUGGAGCUCGACUUGAAAGUCAAAAUUAGACAGUCCUUUGUUCGUCUCCGUGGGUAGUGAACUACUGAGAAAGUGUUGGAAAAAGGAGAGAGCAAAGCAAGUGGAGUUGUUUUUGUUUAUCACCAACAUUGCAUGUCGCGAUUUCAUUUAACGAACUCCGUGUCAGACCCGACACCUUCCUAUGUGAUCCUCUCUAUUGACGAAUUGGCCGACUUGAUCAUUAUUAAAGGUCGUCUUUAGCAAGAAGCUAAGGUAACAGUCAUAGUACGACACAUGGCUCUUAUGCAGCAACCAGCGUGAAGAAAAUCAAGUCAAAAUAACUCCUUCCAAAAAAUCGAUCGAUUUGUCACUAAAUCUGUAGUCUAUGUAAACGUAUAUGGAAAUAUGAGGGGAUGCCACUUGAAUUGAAUUUAUAUAUUGCUGUUAUAGUAACAGUCUGUUACCACGCAGCAACGUUCCGCAGCACCGUUCCUGAAACGGAUGCGCUCUUCCAGACAUGAUUGUUAUUCAGAAUCUUUGCCGUAGUACGUCGUUCUACCCUAUUUUAGAGAGUUAACGGUAAUAUGCCGUUAAGGCUGUUUACCGUAUAGGAGCUUCGAAGAACAAAACCUGAUCUUCGGCUGUGAAUUCAAAUUCAAAGUAGUUUUCGAUCACCUGCGUAGCGACUACAUCUGUUAGACAUCAUCGGCCACCGUUCAUGAUGGUACGUAUGAAUAAUAGUUUGUUACAAUGAAGCUAAUUUCUGCUAUUUCAUCGGUUAUGCGAGGCCAUGUUCAAUGGAAGUUUACUGCUGUUGAUAUUAAGUGCACAUUUGCGUUGCCCCACGAUCUAACACUAAAGGAAGGAUAAUGUGAACUAUAAGUGAAAAAAUUCGUUUUGCCAUGAACAAAAGGGAAAUUUGAACUGUAUCCCGAAAAGUUGCGAACAUUGAAAUGGCUUCUAAAAAUCCGGAACUCAGUGUGAAAUCAAAACCCACGCAGUGGUAUAAAAAAUUGUGGAGCAAACUGCGGCCGGAAAAAACAAAGCCUCCACUUCAAGUAGCUAGAUCCAAAGAAGAAUGUCAAGAAUCAUCCAGGAAUACGGAAGCCAAUAAGAAUGUUGAAAUUAAUAAUUUCAAAACAGAUGAACAUGUCUUGUUUUAUUGGCAUUCACACUACGCUGCUAUUCAUGAAAAUUUGAUUACAUCCAACCAGCUGAUGCCACUAUCGAAUCCCGACUCCAUCAUACAAAAUGCUGAGCAGCCUGAGUUCAAUGACGGUGUGGCUGAUGUGCUGCCUUUUCAUGAGACCGUAGGACAUGGCCGAAACACCCCUGAUGCAAACGUUCUCGUACCCUCGCUAGUCUUCAGCGAGAAUACUGAACUUAACAUUACUGGUAUAUCAGGUAUCGCAGAACAAUAUCAUAACUCAUCAACAUACGACUCCAUGUAUGCAGAUGAAUUUGGCUUUGACAGUUAUUGUUCCGACUCUUCUGUUUGUUACUAAUCAUCUUCGAUGAAGGUAAAAAGCGUCUAAUAAACGACAUUACAGCUCGACUCGAUAAUUCUGAAAUAAAGAAUACACCUUAAGUUACGAUUA
rnacentral:lncRNA from 1 species